rnacentral:Y_RNA from 1 species
GGCUGGUCCGAGUACAGUGAUAUUUACAACAAAUUGAUCAGAAGUUAACAGAUUUAUUUGUUCCUCUUCCACUUCUACUAUUUCAUUUGACUAGCCUUUA